rnacentral:rRNA from 1 species
GCUCCAAUAGCGUAUAUUAAAGUUGUUGCAGUUAAAAAGCUCGUAGUUGGAUUUCUGGUGGGAGCGAUCGGUCUGGCGCUUAGCGCGAGUACUUGCAUCGUCUCCGGCCAUCCUUGGGGAGAGUCUGUCUGGCAUUAAGUUGUCGGGCAGAGGAUCCUCAUCGUUUACUGUGAAAAAUUAGAGUGUUCAAAGCAGGCUUA